UACGGGGGGGGGCAAGCGUUGUUCGGAAUUACUGGGCGUAAAGGGCUCGUAGGUGGCCAACUAAGUCAGACGUGAAAUCCCCUCGGCUUAACCGGGGGAACUGCGUCUGAUACUGGAUGGCUUGAGUUUGGGAGAGGGAUGUGGAAUUCCAGGUGUAGCGGUGAAAUGCGUAGAUAUCUGGAGGAACACCGGUGGCGAAGGCGGCAUCCUGGACCGGUAUUGACGCUGAGGCGCGAAAGCCAGGGGAGCAAAGCGGG
rnacentral:rRNA from 1 species